AACGAUCCAACCGUCAAACUUAUUUGUUUAUACUUCGAGAUCAUAUAUGCCAAAAAUUGGAAAAAAUAAACAUUCAUUGAUCAAGUAACGGGACAAAAGUUUUUGACGGUUAUAAAUGAAAAAUCAUGAUUUAAUGGUUAUUUUAACUCCGAUUUUGAUGAUUUUUUAUAGCUACACUCCUUAACCCUAUAUGAAUACAAUGACUGAAUUUG
rnacentral:lncRNA from 1 species